AUGGAGGGGCUGCCGAAAUCCACCUCGAGGCAGAGGGGUAGGCAGAAGGAUGGCGAGCGUUCCACUCGACGGCGAGCCAUGGGUGAUGGCGAUCGCAACGCAAAGUUUUCCGAUCUGCCUGUCUUCAAGGGCGUGGAGCGACGGAGGUUGUCUCCCUCCUUCCACACGGUCGCAACAUCGGGAGAGGAUUCAGCCCCCGUGUGGUUCUGCACCAAGUUUCUGUCAAGAAUGGAAUCUACGAGUUCUGGAACUGGUUUGAUGAUAGGACAUGGUUUUCACCAGAAUCAAGCAUCAGUUCAAUGGGAACUGGAAUGA
rnacentral:rRNA from 1 species